rnacentral:rRNA from 1 species
GACGAACGCUGGCGGCGUGCUUAACACAUGCAAGUCGAACGGAAAGGCCCUGCUUUUGUGGGGUGCUCGAGUGGCGAACGGGUGAGUAACACGUGAGUAACCUGCCCUUGACUUUGGGAUAACUUCAGGAAACUGGGGCUAAUACCGGAUAGGAGCUCCUGCUGCAUGGUGGGGGUUGGAAAGUUUCGGCGGUUGGGGAUGGACUCGCGGCUUAUCAGCUUGUUGGUGUGGUAGUGGCUUACCAAGGCUUUGACGGGUAGCCGGCCUGAGAGGGUGACCGGCCACAUUGGGACUGGGAUACGGCCCAGCCUCCUACGGGAGGCAACAGUGGAGAAUAUUGCACAAUGGGCGGAAGCCUGAUGCAGCAACGCCGCGUGCGGGAUGACGGCCUUCGGGUUGUAAACCGCUUUCGCCUGUGACGAAGCGUGAGUGACGGUAAUGGGUAAAGAAGCACCGGCUAACUACGUG